AACGAACGCUGGCGGCAGGCUUAACACAUGCAAGUCGAGCGCACUCUUCGGAGUGAGCGGCGGACGGGUUAGUAACGCGUGGGAACGUGCCCAUCUCUAAGGAAUAGCCUCGGGAAACUGAGAGUAAUACCUUAUACGCCCUUCGGGGGAAAGAUUUAUCGGAGAAGGAUCGGCCCGCGUUAGAUUAGAUAGUUGGUGGGGUAAUGGCCUACCAAGUCUACGAUCCAUAGCUGGUUUGAGAGGAUGAUCAGCCACACUGGGACUGAGACACGGCCCAG
rnacentral:rRNA from 1 species